UACGUAGGGUGCGAGCGUUGUCCGGAAUUACUGGGCGUAAAGAGCUCGUAGGUGGUUUGUCGCGUUGUUCGUGAAAACUCACAGCUUAACUGUGGGCGUGCGGGCGAUACGGGCAGACUGGAGUACUGCAGGGGAGACUGGAAUUCCUGGUGUAGCGGUGAAAUGCGCAGAUAUCAGGAGGAACACCGGUGGCGAAGGCGGGUCUCUGGGCCGAUAUUGACGCUGAGGAGCGAAAGCGUGGGGAGCGAACAGG
rnacentral:rRNA from 1 species